rnacentral:rRNA from 1 species
UGAGUAACGCAUAGGUCAUGUGCCUCUUAGUUUGGGAUAGCCAUUGGAAACGAUGAUUAAUACCAGAUACUCCCUACGGGGGAAAGAUUUAUCGCUAAGAGAUCAGCCUAUGUCCUAUCAGCUUGUUGGUAAGGUAAUGGCUUACCAAGGCUAUGACGGGUAUCCGGCCUGAGAGGGUGAACGGACACACUGGAACUGAGACACGGUCCAGACUCCUACGGGAGGCAGCAGUAGGGAAUAUUGCUCAAUGGGGGAAACCCUGAAGCAGCAACGCCGCGUGGAGGAUGAAGGUUUUAGGAUUGUAAACUCCUUUUGUUAGAGAAGAUAAUGACGGUAUCUAACGAAUAAGCACCGGCUAACUCCGUGCCAGCAGCCGCGGUAAUACGGAGGGUGCAAGCGUUACUCGGAAUCACUGGGCGUAAAGAGCGCGUAGGCGGGAUAGUCAGUCAGGUGUGAAAUCCUAUGGCUUAACCAUAGAACUGCAUUUGAAACUACUAUUCUAGAGUGUGGGAGAGGUAGGUGGAAUUCUUGGUGUAGGGGUAAAAUCCGUAGAGAUCAAGAGGAAUACUCAUUGCGAAGGCGACCUGCUGGAACAUUACUGACGCUGAUUGCGCGAAAGCGUGGGGAGCAAACAGGAUUAGAUACCCUGGUAGUCCACGCCCUAAACGAUGGAUGCUAGUUGUUGGAGGGCUUAGUCUUUCCAGUAAUGCAGCUAACGCAUUAAGCAUCCCGCCUGGGGAGUACGGUCGCAAGAUUAAAACUCAAAGGAAUAGACGGGGACCCGCACAAGCGGUGGAGCAUGUGGUUUAAUUCGAAGAUACACGAAGAACCUUACCUAGGCUUGACAUUGAGAGAAUCCGCUAGAAAUAGUGGAGUGUCUAGCUUGCUAGACCUUGAAAACAGGUGCUGCACGGCUGUCGUCAGCUCGUGUCGUGAGAUGUUGGGUUAAGUCCCGCAACGAGCGCAACCCCCUUUCUUAGUUGCUAACAGGUCAUGCUGAGAACUCUAAGGAUACUGCCUCCGUAAGGAGGAGGAAGGUGGGGACGACGUC